GACGAACGCUGGCGGCGUGCCUAAUACAUGCAAGUUGAGCGCCGAAGGAUGGUACUUGUACCAACUGGAUGAGCAGCUAACGGGUGAGUAACGCGUGGGGAAUCAUCCACUUAUCGGGGGACAACAUUUGGAAACGAAUUCUAAUACUGCAUAAAAACUCUAAACACAAGAUUUAAGUUUGAAACAUACAAUUGCAUCACUCAUAGAUGAUCCCGCGUUGUAUUAGGUAGUUGGGUAGGUAAAGGCUCACCAAGGCGUACAUACAUAGCCGACCUGAAAGGGUGAUCGGCCCAAAUGGGACUGAGACCACGCCCCAGCUCCUUAGGGAGGCAGCAGUAGGGGAUUUUUGGCAAUGGGCGGAAGUCUGACCGAACAAAGCCGGGUGGGUUAAGGAGGGUUUCGGAUUGUAAAACUCUUUUGGUAGAGAAAGACAUUGGUGAGAGUGGAAAGCUCAUCAAGUGACGGUAACUACACAGAAAGCGACGGCUAACUACGUG
rnacentral:rRNA from 1 species